ensembl:lncRNA
AGAUGUACACUGAAUAUGAAAGCUAGCCUUGAGAAGGAGGUAGAUGCUACUGGUUAGAUGGCAUUUUGUUAAGCUGCUUGUCAAGAACCUCACCACAGCAGAAGACAUGGAUGCAGGGAGUUCACCAGUCCAGAGACUGAAGCUCUUCUGAGGUGGGAAAAUGAGAAGUGUUUAACGGAACUCUGGCAGAUGCAACCUACUGCAUGUCUACCUCUCACAGGAAAAGGGUUGUGAUGGCCUUAGACAUGGAAGUACAAAGUUUAAACUGUUAUGGCAUAGUACUCAAUUCACUGGUAGCUGCCAUCUAUUCCUAAAGAUCGAAUGAAGUAUUUCACCUUUGAGCACCUUUAAAUAUCAUUAAACAUCAUUGCUGCCUUUUUGUAGACACAAAUGUCUGUUACCUCUGAGAUUGUUAUGGACCAAGUUCUUUUCUCCCUGCCCUUGCUGACAUGCUAGUGAAGAGCAAGUUAGCAAAGAUUGGGUCUAAUUAGUACUGUGCCCUCUGUUUUAACUGAGUGCAUGCUUAUGAGUUUAAACAGGAAAAAUCACUCAUAGAAAGCAGCAGAACUUUGUAAACUUCAGAUGGCUUAGUUCUGAAGACUUCCUCUGAGCACUUAGGAAAAUCAGAAGUUCAGUGCUGAUCUCAUGCCUCCAUAUCGGAGCCCUUGGAUCCCUGUCUUCCUACUGGUUAGGAUUUGAAGAAUCUCACCUUGUUGCUCGUAUGUCUUAGUCUCCAGAUUUCUGAGGUCCUCAGAGCUGAUCUUGGCACGUCUGUGACUGUUUAUUUAGAGGAUUAGACUAAGAAUGCUACAUGUUGGUCUUUCAUAAAACCCUUAACUCCAGCUGUAAACAGUCAUUUAGGAGAUUAAAUUGAAAUGGCAGCUGGAGAAGGAUUGUGGGCUCUUUAGAGGUGCUCUAAAAGUGGGAGCCAAGCUCUUAGGGAACUGAAGAAAUCUUAUUUGUAAACAGUAGUUUAGGGCAGGCAAAAUGUCUGAGUACACCAUUUGUAACCUUUCUGACACAGAGCCAUCUGACCCUGGCCUAAAUGGAGUAAGUGAGCUGAUGGUGGGCUUGGCUGUGGCUUGUACUGCUUCAGCCCUUACAGCUGUUCCUCCUAAACUCUCCUGUACUUCAGGCUGCAAAU